GAUGAACGCUGGCGGCGUGCCUAACACAUGCAAGUCGAACGGGUGUACAGAAGGGAAGAUUUCGGUCGGAAGAUCUGUGCAUGAGUGGCGGACGGGUGAGUAACGCGUGGGCAACCUGGCCUGUACAGGGGGAUAACACUUAGAAAUAGGUGCUAAUACCGCAUAACGGGAGAAGCCGCAUGGCUUUUUCCUGAAAACUCCGGUGGUACAGGAUGGGCCCGCGUCUGAUUAGCCAGUUGGCAGGGUAACGGCCUACCAAAGCGACGAUCAGUAGCCGGCCUGAGAGGGCGGACGGCCACACUGGGACUGAGACACGGCCCAGACUCCUACGGGAGGCAGCAGUGGGGGAUAUUGCACAAUGGGGGAAACCCUGAUGCAGCGACGCCGCGUGGGUGAAGAAGCGCCUCGGCGCGUAAAGCCCUGUCAGCAGGGAAGAAAA
rnacentral:rRNA from 1 species